UCAGGAUGAACGCUAGCUACAGGCUUAACACAUGCAAGUCGAGGGGCAGCAUUAUCGAAGCUUGCUUUGAUAGAUGGCGACCGGCGCACGGGUGCGUAACGCGUAUCCAACCUGCCGUGUACUCGGGGAUAGCCCUUUGAAAGGAGGAUUAAUACCCGAUGUGGUUGUUCCGGGGCAUCCCGGUACAAUUAAAGAUUAUAUCGGUACAUCGAUGGGGAUGCGUACGAUUAGCUUGUCGGCGGGGUAACGGCCCACCGAGGCGACGAUCGUUAGGGGUUCUGAGAGGAAGGUCCCCCACAUAGGAACUGAGACACGGUCCUAACUCCUACGGGAGGCAGCAGUGAGGAAUAUUGGUCAAUGGGCGCGAGCCUGAACCAGCCAAGUAGCGUGAAGGAUGACUGCCCUAUGGGUUGUAAACUUCUUUUGUCUGGGAAUAAAGUGAGGUACGCGUACCUUUUUGUAUGUACCAGACGAAUAAGCAUCGGCUAAUUCCGUGCC
rnacentral:rRNA from 1 species